GCAUUUUAUCCAAACAUGGAGAUGCUGUGAAAUGAGGCCUGGCUGCUGGAAUGCUGUUUCCUGAAAGUUUCGCCAGAGGCUUUUAUUAAAUACCAAGCUCUGAAUACGAUGAACAGGCCUACGAUUGGCGUCCAACUUGCCUUAUGCAUGUGUACAGAAGAACACAAUGCUCUUCAAAGAGUGGAAAUUCAAUUUGAAUGGAAGAUCCCAGAUUUUCAUUAUGGACAUUAUUGCAUGGAUGCUACUCUCAGGC